rnacentral:rRNA from 1 species
UACGACGGGUGCAAGCGUUACUCGGAAUUACUGGGCGUAAAGCGUGCGUAGGUGGUUUGUUAAGUCUGAUGUGAAAGCCCUGGGCUCAACCUGGGAAUUGCAUUGGAUACUGGCAGGCUAGAGUGCGGUAGAGGAUGGCGGAAUUCCCGGUGUAGCAGUGAAAUGCGUAGAGAUCGGGAGGAACAUCUGUGGCGAAGGCGGCCAUCUGGACCAGCACUGACACUGAGGCACGAAAGCGUGGGGAGCAAACAGG